rnacentral:rRNA from 1 species
AACGCCGCGUGAGUGAAGAAGGUUUUCGGAUCGUAAAGCUCUGUUGUAAGUCAAGAACGUGUGUGAGAGUGGAAAGUUCACACAGUGACGGUAGCUUACCAGAAAGGGACGGCUAACUACGUGCCAGCAGCCGCGGUAAUACGUAGGUCCCGAGCGUUGUCCGGAUUUAUUGGGCGUAAAGGGAGCGCAGGCGGUCAGGAAAGUCUGGAGUAAAAGGCUAUGGCUCAACCAUAGUGUGCUCUGGAAACUGUCUGACUUGAGUGCAGAAGGGGAGAGUGGAAUUCCAUGUGUAGCGGUGAAAUGCGUAGAUAUAUGGAGGAACACCAGUGGCGAAAGCGGCUCUCUGGUCUGUCACUGACGCUGAGGCUCGAAAGCGUGGGUAGCGAACAGGAUUAGAUACCCUGGUAGUCCACGCCGUAAACGAUGAGUGCUAGGUGUUAGGCCCUUUCCGGGGCUUAGUGCCGGAGCUAACGCAAUAAGCACUCCGCCUGGGGAGUACGACCGCAAGGUUGAAACUCAAAGGAAUUGACGGGGGCCCGCACAAGCGGUGGAGCAUGUGGUUUAAUUCGAAGCAACGCGAAGAACCUUACCAGGUCUUGACAUCCCGAUGCUAUUCUUAGAGAUAGGAAGUUACUUCGGUACAUCGGAGACAGGUGGUGCAUGG